UCCAAUUGUAGAGUUAAACCUAGAUUCCUGG
rnacentral:piRNA from 1 species